AUGACGCCGAAAUACGUGCUGCUUCCAACCAUACCUGAGGACCUCGCCGCCCAGCCGCAAGAUUCUCUUUGGGAAUUCGAGCCUGUACUUGCUUCCAACACCAGCGACAAUGGGGAGGAGGGACCCUUCAAGGUGAUAUGCAUAGCAAAAUACCAGACUAAGCUUGUCCUCUUUGUCUUCCCGUCCACAACUACGCAAUGGUGUAUGGCCGAGUCUCCUGUCCUCCCUUCUUUGGACCAUAUGUCCUCUUUUGACUACGUCUGCGGUCGCUUCUACUGGACAGAACCUUAUAGUUGGAGUGACCAUUUGAUGGUGCUGGACACGUGCAUCAUGAGGUUUUCCACUGUCGAUCUUCUCACCGGUUACCAUCAGGAACUCAGAGAUCUGCACCACCAGAACUCUUAUCGUGGACGUCCGAAUUCAGUUGUUACGGGUAGGGAAGGAACCCUUGAGAUGUUUUCUCUUGUCCGUCAAAAUGGCUACUUUGCUCUCUACCAUACCUCUCUACAGAAUAAUUCCCAAGAAUGGAAGCUUGAGAAGGUCAUAAGCCUGCCAGGGCAGUAUCAUGACUAUUCCAUUUCCACAGUGGGUGCCGCGGAGGGAUUCUUGUUCUUCCAAGGCGCUCCAGAAGGUAUUUAUAUUGAGAAUGUGGAUUGUUACUCGAUGGAAGUCAAGACUUAUGAAAUUACCAAAGUCUGUACAAGGAUGGAGCGGUUCCUCAAUCGCAAACGUGCUCUCCCCUGCUUUAGCUUCCCGCCGCUGUUAUCAGAACCAACUAUCUGA
rnacentral:rRNA from 1 species